UAAAAUACAGUGCAAAGAUGACUUCAUCGUGCUUUCAGUUAUUUCUUUUUGUCUGUCUUUCACUGAUUUCUAAGAAGCACUGUCUCAUUCUGAAGCUCCGAGGCACUAAAUUCACCCAUCUGGAGGACUUAUGUGCAUAAAGCUGCCAAGAAUCAAAGCAGAUGCCAUAAAAGUCAAGAGGUCAUAACACAUGGUGCUUCAACUUAUUCAGUGGAUAAGAAUAUAUGAAAAACAGAGCUUCAAGGACCUUUUUUGGAAUCUCCCAAGAAGAGCUAAAUCCAAGAAGAGGAAAUAUUAAAUUACAGCUUUCAUUUAUGUAUUUUAUAUAGCUUCAAGCUACUUACAUUUUAAACUCACAAGUUUUUCUUUCUUUCUUUCUUUCUUUCUUUCUUUCUUUCUUUCUUUCUUUCUUUCUUUCUUUCUUUCUUUCUUUCUUUCUUUCUUCCCCCCGUUGACCUGUAAUGGCUGAACUCAUUCUGAAGGGAUGAGAAGGAUUAAUCAAGAUUUUUUUUUCAUAAAAACAUGCAACAAAUCUAUUGGAUUUCUUCUUAUGCUAAUUUUGUAUAGUUUAAUCCUACUUUCUGAUCACUUUUUCUUUAACAUGCUUAUUACUAUGCCAGUUUAUCGUUUACAAUGAAAAAAGUUUCACACAAAAGAAGUCUCGUCUUCAGACUUUAAAGAAGACAAAACAUUUGGAUGGCAAUGCCUAGCUGGACAUGGGUAAUGGUGAAGAUACAGUCUACGAACUUUGAAAAAAAUCAUUUUAUUCUUCUUUCCUUCCUCCGAUCUGAGUGCUACUGUUGCAGCUGCAUAUUGUGCCUUGUGCUGCGGAUGUGUGACACAGAGCAAAGGAUGACACAGUGCUGGGAAACCAGAGGAAAAGCCAAUGGAACUGUAAAUUCCUCACCUCCACCCCCCAUUUUGCUCAGCAGGGUGUCCUCUGAAUUUCCUUCAACCGAGAGGAACUCAUUUUGGAUUUUCCCUAAAAAAAGCAACAGAGCAUGGCUGUCCAUUGUUCUUAUACACUGGACUCCAAAACUACCUCCUCUCCUUUUGUCUGUCUUUUUCUUUAAAAACAAAAUCACUCUGCUAGAGCGAAUAUUGUACAGUUUUAUCCCAUGAAUAUAGACACAGCCUCCACUCUUCCUGCUUCUUAUGGGACAUUUCCAUAGAGGAUUUGUAGCAGCGCUCUAAUACAGUAUAUGUAUAUUAAUGAACAAAUCAGUCAGCCCCCUAUUCAGCCUUUUCCCACAAUCACUUACUCACAAACAAACUUUCAGGACAAUAUUUAUGCUGCAAACAAAAAUUGCAGAAGUAAUUAAAAGGCAGUGGCAGGUCUGUAGGUCCAGCCAGCCUUAUUUCCUCUUGCACAUUCAUAGUUUUGUAACUGGAUACUGGAUCACUAACUUUUUCAUGAGUAGCCCUAGACUGCCCUUGUAUUAUCCAGUGCUCUUAACUGUUAAUGGUAAUUCUGCAUGUAGCUUGAAAACAGUAUAUAAUAUCCUGAAAUGAUUAGGAUUGCCAGGUGUCCGGUUUUGAACCGUACAGUCCAGUAUUUGAGCUUUCUGUUCAGGAAACAAAUUGAGAAAAUAUAAAUGUC